rnacentral:rRNA from 1 species
CACUGAGGGGAGGAAGGCUCCCCAGAAAACGGUACGGCCCGCCAGAGGACCAAAGUCUAAUGUUUCUUAUUGUAACUUCUGAGUAAAACAAACAAAUAAAUCAAAACUUUCAACAACGGAUCUCUUGGUUCUGGCAUCGAUGAAGAACGCAGCAGAAUGCGAUAAGUAAUGUGAAUUGCAGAAUUCAGUGAAUCAUCGAAUCUUUGAACGCACAUUGCGCCCGCUGGAAUUCCGGCGGGCAUGCCUGUUCGAGCGUCAUUUCAACCCUCAAGCCCCCGGGUUUGGUGUUGGGGAUCGGCUCUGCCUCACGGCGGUGCCGCCCCCGAAAUACAUUGGCGGUCUCGCUGCAGCCUCCAUUGCGUAGUAGCUAACACCUCGCAACUGGAACGCGGCGCGGCCAUGCCGUAAAACCCCAACUUCUGAAUGUUGACCUCGGAUCAGGAAGGAAUA